rnacentral:rRNA from 1 species
UACGGGAGGCAGCAGUGGGGAAUAUUGCACAAUGGGCGCAAGCCUGAUGCAGCCAUGCCGCGUGUAUGAAGAAGGCCUUCGGGUUGUAAAGUACUUUCAGCGGGGAGGAAGGCGGUGAAGUUAAUAGCUUCACCGAUUGACGUUACCCGCAGAAGAAGCACCGGCUAACUCCGUGCCAGCAGCCGCGGUAAUACGGAGGGUGCAAGCGUUAAUCGGAAUUACUGGGCGUAAAGCGCACGCAGGCGGUCUGUCAAGUCGGAUGUGAAAUCCCCGGGCUUAACCUGGGAACUGCAUUCGAAACUGGCAGGCUAGAGUCUUGUAGAGGGGGUAGAAUUCCAGGUGUAGCGGUGAAAUGCGUAGAGAUCUGGAGGAAUACCGGUGGCGAAGGCGGCCCCUGGGACAAAGACUGACGCUCAGGGUGCGAAAGCGUGGGGAGCGAAACAGGGAUUAGGAUAC